AAGGUCUUCGGAUUGUAAACUUCUUUUAUUUGGGACUAAGAAAUCUAGGGAAACUUAGAGAGUGAAUGUACCAAGUGAAUAAGCCACGGCUAACUUCGUGC
rnacentral:rRNA from 1 species